UACGUAGGGUGCAAGCGUUGUCCGGAAUUAUUGGGCGUAAAGAGCUCGUAGGCGGUUCGUCACGUCGGCUGUGAAAUCCCGAGGCUCAACCUCGGGUCUGCAGUCGAUACGGGCGGACUGGAGUACUGCAGGGGAGACUGGAAUUCCUGGUGUAGCGGUGAAAUGCGCAGAUAUCAGGAGGAACACCAAUGGCGAAGGCAGAUCUCUGGGCCGUAACUGACGCUGAGGAGCGAAAGCAUGGGGGAGCGAACAGG
rnacentral:rRNA from 1 species